GGUUGCAAUCGCCUUUUCAUUAAUUCUCACAAUAUGGAAGUCAUUGAUACCAUGAAGAAUGGAGGACGUUUAGCACGAGCUGCAGCGGCGGUUUUUGAUGAUUGUUAUUUUUUAGCCUGUGAUUUUCCUCUCACUAGUUUUGAGCAUUGUAAUAGGGAAGCGAAUAAGGUAGCUCAUGAACUUGCCAAGUUAGCUAGAUUUUAUGAGACAAGGGGGUGGUUUGAGGAGCCUUUGGUCGAAAUUGUACAACCUCUAAUAGACGAUGUAACAGUUAUUUCUAAUUAA
rnacentral:rRNA from 1 species